rnacentral:rRNA from 1 species
UACGAAGGGGGCUAGCGUUGCUCGGAAUCACUGGGCGUAAAGGGUGCGUAGGCGGGUCUUUAAGUCAGGGGUGAAAUCCUGGAGCUCAACUCCAGAACUGCCUUUGAUACUGAAGAUCUUGAGUUCGGGAGAGGUGAGUGGAACUGCGAGUGUAGAGGUGAAAUUCGUAGAUAUCGGGAGGAACACCGGUGGCGAAGGCGGCGACCUGGGUCGAGACUGACGCUGAGGCGCGAAAGCGUGGGGAGCAAACAGG